rnacentral:rRNA from 1 species
GUGAGGAAUUUUCCGCAAUGGGCGAAAGCCUGACGGAGCAAUGCCGCGUGAAGGAUGAAGGCCUAUGGGUUGUAAACUUCUUUUCUCAGAAAAGAAUUAUGACGGUAUCUGAGGAAUAAGCAUCGGCUAACUCUGUGCCAGCAGCCGCGGUAAGACAGAGGAUGCAAGCGUUAUCCGGAAUGAUUGGGCGUAAAGCGUCUGUAGGUUGUUUAAAAAGUAUUCUGUCAAAGAUUAGGGCUUAACCCUAGAUAGGCAGAAUAAACUUUUAAGCUAGAGUUUGGUAGAGGCAGAGGUAAUUCCCGGUGGAGCGGUGAAAUGCGUAGAUAUCGGGAGGAACACCGAAGGCGAAGGCACUCUGCUGGGCCAAUACUAACACUGAGAGACGCAAGCGAGGGGAGCAAAUGGGAUUAGAAACCCGAGUAGUCC